rnacentral:rRNA from 1 species
AUGAACGCUGGCGGCGUGCCUAAUACAUGCAAGUCGAGCGAACAGACGAGGAGCUUGCUCCUCUGACGUUAGCGGCGGACGGGUGAGUAACACGUGGAUAACCUACCUAUAAGACUGGGAUAACUUCGGGAAACCGGAGCUAAUACCGGAUAAUAUAUUGUACCGCAUGGUUCAAUAGUGAAAGACGGUUUUGCUGUCACUUAUAGAUGGAUCCGCGCCGCAUUAGCUAGUUGGUAAGGUAACGGCUUACCAAGGCAACGAUGCGUAGCCGACCUGAGAGGGUGAUCGGCCACACUGGAACUGAGACACGGUCCAGACUCCCACGGGAGGCAGCAGUAGGGAAUCUUCCGCAAUGGGCGAAAGCCUGACGGAGCAACGCCGCGUGAGUGAUGAAGGUCUUCGGAUCGUAAAACUCUGUUAUUAGGGAAGAACAAAUGUGUAGUAACUAUGCACGUCUUGACGGUACCUAAUCAGAAAGCCACGGCUAACUACGUG